rnacentral:rRNA from 1 species
AGCUCCAAUAGCGUAUAUUAAAGUUGUUGCAGUUAGAACGCUCGUAGUCGGAUUUCGGGGCGGGUCGACCGGUCUGCCGAUGGGUACGCACUGGCCGACGCGUCCUUCCUUCCGGAGACCGUCUCACUCUUAACUGAGCGGAGGCGGGAGACGGAACGUUUACUUUGAAAAAAUCAGAGUGUUUCAAGCAGGCAGCUCGCUCUUGCAUGGAUUAGCAUGGGAUAAUGAAAUAGGACUUUGGUGCUAUUUUGUUGGUUUCGAACACCGAAGUAAUGAUGAGAAGGGACAGUCAGGGGCACUCGUAUUCCGCCGAGAGAGGUGAAAUUCUCAGACCAGCGGAAGACGAACCACUGCGAAAGCAUUUGCCAGGGAUGUUUUCA